GGAGAGGCUGGUAAUAAGGCUAUGGAAUGGACUACAGAUGAUCAAAAGAAUCUCAUGGAUCUUGGGACUCCGGAGAUUGAAAGGAACAAAAGAUUGGAGAGUCUAAUUGCAAGACAGAAAGCAAGGAAAUUGUUCAGCCUUCAGGUUAGGAGGACACUAAGGAACAUGGGUAGCAAAAUCCCAUGGCUCAAAUUGCUCAUAUUUCAAUACCAAAAAGCAAUCUUCUUUCGAAUAAGAGUGGUCAAUGUUCACCAGGCACAAGAGUUUCAGUUUAGGGGCUUCUUUAACAAGGAAUUCAUGCAAGAUUGUGCAGACACCUCAGUUUUUCGUGACAUUGGAUUGAGGAAGAGAGCUUCCAAAGGAAUUGAAUGUUCCAAAUCAGGAAACCAAUUAGGCAAACAAUAUCUUUAUUGUUUCAGAUCAUUCCAUGCUACUACUGCUCCACAAUAUGAUAAAUGUUAUAAUUUGUGAUUGUAAUGAAAACUAUGAAUGAUAAUUCAUUGUUCCUUUCAAAAUAACUAAAGAAUAAAAAUAAUUUUUAAAAUGGACAAACACAAACAGAUGAAAAAUGCAAAAUAACUAAAUAAAACCUUUUGAUUACAGAUAGUGAAUUCAUCAUGAUAGUAGAGCCAGAACUAAGACAAAGGUUGAAAGUGCAGGUGAUCAGAUCAAAGAAGUCAUCCGGGUGUGUGAACUGGGAUUUGAACAUCACAAUGAAGAAGACAAUUUGAAUUGCAGACAACUAAUUCCUAUUGAUGAUGUCCAUGGUAGGCCAAGCUCUUCAGAAGAAGAAGAAGAAGAGGAUGAACCAUUCUAUAAGAUAGACGAAGAUGCACUAUUGAAAUCUAUUGCUUCUCCAGCUACAAGGAUUGUUGCUGAAGAUGGGGAGAAUAAUGGCCAAACAGGAUGAAGAAAGUUCAACAUGUGAUGUGUACUUGGAUAUAGAGAUUACCUUGAGUAGUGAAGACUUGUGGGCAGCAGCAUCUCACCCAUCUGGAAUAGAUGAAAAUGAAUCGAGAUCGAGAGAAGUACAUGAGAUCGGCGUGAAAGAUAUCAUCAAAGUUGGAUUUUCAAAAAUUAACGAGUCCGGGGAUAAGACUUCAUCAAGAACACAGGAAGGGAAAGUCCCUGAACAAAAUUCUAUUGGUGCGCAUUCAUUUUCGUCUCCUAAGACCGACUUUCCUAGCAGCUGUCAGGCCAGCAUGAAGAAUUGUGGAAAAUUACAGAGCUGUUCAGUUUCUGCACUGGAACAUUCUGAUCCCUGUGAGAAGUUGAAGAAUGAGUUGAACGCCAUUUGCUAUUUAAAUGGUUCAGAAAUGCUGCAGGAUGAUAGAGGGAACCUGAUAGAACAGUCUUUGACAAUUAAUUCAGAAUCUUCUGAACAUAAUGGAAGUCGUUCUGAGAAACAGGAUAAGACUCAUCACAUGUUAGACUUAACGGGUUCGGAAUCUGAUAACAGAAUAUCUUCUAAGGAUUCUGACAGUAGAUUGAAAAAGGUGCUUGAAAAUGAAGAAAUGGUGACUAUUUUUAACACCUUUUGACGAUCAUAACAGUCUCAAAUUACUUCAUCGAAGCAAAGAUGAACGAUGUUCUUCCGAAGUUGGAACUUCUAGGACUUCUCAGGAGUCUGAUGAUCCCCAAGCAUCUGUAUCACUGAUGAAUGUGGCUGUUGAACAAAUUCCGGCUGCCCCAAGUCCAUGCUCAUCCCUUCAAUCUGUACUACAAAAUUUUUCCGUGGAGAACUUAUCAGAAUUUCAGCAAAAUAUCCAAAUGGAGGUUAGGCAGUUUGACAGGAAGUAGAAAACAACAUCCCAGAUGAACUUAGAACUGGAGUUUCCAGAGAUUGUCCUUAAGUUCAUUACCUUUGGAGGAUUUAACGAUGCAUCCACAUAGUGGUGCACAUAUUGAACAGGAAUCUUCCCAUCAUCAAGAGAAUUCAACCGAAGUAGUUGACACACAUAGUGAUGUUGAUGAACCAACUAAUUAUGAGGAUCAGAUGGAAAACUCGGCACUUUGUGAAGACACUGGACAUGAGGGCCAGUUGAUUUAUCCAAUGGAUUGUGAAGAAUGUACAACUUCAGAAAGUUGUGAAGACAAAGGCGAGCUUUAGAAAUUUGCAGAGGACAGAACUCCUACUACUUCGUCAAUAUUGGUGGAAGAGAAUGACAACUCGGGGACCCAUAAGACUGAAGAGGAUGGAGAAGCUAUACACCAUGCAAAUGAACACGGUUCAACGCUAGGCAGUGAAGUCAAAUUAGAAAUUAGUACUAACAAUAUUGGAGAAAGCCAUGAUGAAUCUAUUAUAUUAGGUGUUCCAAAAGAGAAGAACAAUUCGAAGAAUUCUAUCAGUUGCAUUACUAUAGAGGAACCAACAAAUUCUUCAGCAAGAAGCGUUGAGGAAUCCACAAGCGUUUGCAUUGCAAACAAAAUGGUAACUAACAAGAUAAAUGAACGGGACCCAGAGAGUAUGUCUGUUGGAGUUGAAGAAGAUCAGAAAGAUAAAAGUAAGAUCAGAUUCUGUUAGAGAUUGCCACCAAGUGUGGCUUAGAUGGAAAGCCUGUUACAGCCAAGUUUAGCUUAGAUGACCCAGAAUACAGUACUGAUUAGUAUUAAGGAGUUAGUUUCACAGGUUUGCUGCUAGAAAUCAAAGUUUCUUUUGUAUUUAAUUAGUAGCCAAAUUCAAACUUUGACUAGUAAGUGGUUGUCAUAGCGAUUAAGUUUAAAAAAGUCGAUAAAAUUGAAUGAUCAUUCAUCAACUCUAUUAUCUAGUCUCAAGAAGCUAACUGCAAGCGUCGUGGUUUUAUGUGCU